AUUGAACGCUGGCGGCAGGCCUAACACAUGCAAGUCAAGCGGAUGAAGGGAGCUUGCUCCUGGAUUCAGCGGCGGACGGGUGAGUAAUGCCUAGGAAUCUGCCUGGUAGUGGGGGAUAACGUCCGGAAACGGGCGCUAAUACCGCAUACGUCCUGAGGUAGAAAGUGGGGGAUCUUCGGACCUCACGCUAUCAGAUGAGCCUAGGUCGGAUUAGCUAGUUGGUGGGGUAAAGGCCUACCAAGGCGACGAUCCGUAACUGGUCUGAGAGGAUGAUCAGUCACACUGGAACUGAGACACGGUCCAGACUCCUACGGGAGGCAGCAGUGGGGAAUAUUGGACAAUGGGCGAAAGCCUGAUCCAGCCAUGCCGCGUGUGUGAAGAAGGUCUUCGGAUUGUAAAGCACUUUAAGUUGGGAGGAAGGGCAGUAAGUUAAUACCUUGCUGUUUUGACGUUACCAACAGAAUAAGCACCGGCUAACUUCGUG
rnacentral:rRNA from 1 species